GAUGAAGAACGCAGUGAAAUGCGAUAAGUAAUGUGAAUUGCAGAAUUCAGUGAAGCAUCGAAUCUUUGAACGCACAUUGCGCCCGCCAGUAUUCUGGCGGGCAUGCCUGUUCGAGCGUCAUUUCAACCCUCAGGGCCCUUUUGGACCUGGCGUUGGGGCUCGGCCGCUACCCUGCGGCCGUCCCCGAAAGAUAGUGGCGGUCUCGCUGUAGCCUCCUCUGCGUAGUAGUUACAUCUCGCACUGGAACGCGGCGCGGCCAUGCCGUUAAACACCCCACUUCUCAAGGUUGACCUCGGAUCAGGUAGGAAUACCCGCUGAACUUAAGCAUAUCAAUAAGCGGAGGA
rnacentral:misc_RNA from 1 species